UCAGUAUGUGUCCUUUUAUGUGCUGUGCUAUAUUAUCAAAACACAUUAAGGACUCAUAUUGGAG